ACGGCGCACGGGUGGGUAACACGUGGGUAAUCUGCCCUUCGAUGGGGAAUAACUCGCCGAAAGGCGAGCUAAUUCCGCAUAACAUUCCUUGGACUCCGGUUUGAGGAUUCAAAGGCGUAAGUCGUCUAAGGGGGAGCCCGCGCACGAUUAGCUAGUUGGGGAGGUAAUGGCUCCCCAAGGCUAUGAUCGUUAGCUGGUCUGAGAGGAUGGCCAGCCCCCCUGGAACUGAGACACGGUCCACACUCCUACGGGAGGCAGCAGUGGGGAAUCUUGCACAAUGGGCGAAAGCCUGAUGCAGCGCCGCCCCGUGGGGGAUGAAGCUUCUCGGAGUGUAAACCCCUUUCGACCGGGACAAAUACCUCGCAAGAGGGGUGACGGUACCGGUAUAAGAAGCCCCGGCUAACUACGUGCCACCAGCCGCGGUAAGACGUAGGGGGCCAGCGUUGCUCGGAAUUACUGGGUGUAAAGGGUUCGUAGGCGGUGUGGCAAGUCGGGAGUGAAAUCUCUGGGCUCAACCCAGGGGCUGCUUCCGA
rnacentral:rRNA from 1 species